rnacentral:lncRNA from 1 species
UUGUGUUAAGACAAUUGAAUACUAUAUAUUUUUAUUGUAUGUUUAAUUUGUAUCAAAGUAGCAUAUAAUUUAAUGUUAUGUAAUUUUUAUGCAAGUCCUAUUAUGUAAGAAACAGUAGCAAGCCAUAUGGGUAAUGCCAUGUCUGAAACAUAUUCAAAAGUGAGGCAAAUAAGUUCCAUCAUUCAAUAAGUAAAAUAUUAGACUGGUUUAUUACAUUGAUUGUAAUUUUCUGAACACAUUGUAUUAUUGUCACUUGAAUAUUGUAAAGCAAACCUAGAUCACGCACUUUACACAUUGUAUAAAUGAAAUAUACUGACAUGCGCAGUCGAACC